UUUAAAUUAAGUUCAGUUAAAUCGUAAUAAUUGUCUUUGAAUCGCGACGUUUUAUUUUAAAAUUCGGUCGCGCCAAUGCAAAUUCUUCUGCAAAAUAGUGUCCGAAAUUAAUAUUGUGAUUUUACAUCAGCAACUUAAUCAUAUAACAGCUGACAAUUCUCUCAACUGCUCAACAUCAUAUUGGAUAAGUCACAUUGACUCCUGAUAUUUUUAUUGAUGCAAUGUACGAAGAAUAAGAAUUUUGGAAGCAAUUCUUCUUGCUCACCACAGAAAUGACAGCCAAUUUUGUCAAUGGCCUUGUUGGUGCUCUAUUGUCUUGCUGUUGAUGGCUUUUAGUUUCGACCUUUGUGUCAGCAGCUGUUGCUUUAUUGACUGAUUUUUUGGGCUUAAUGUUUUGUACUGCUGCGUUUGUGCUCGAUAAAAGUGAUGAUAAAAUGGCGG